rnacentral:rRNA from 1 species
GUGGAUUAGAUACCCUGGUAGUCCUGGCAGUAAACGGUGCACGCUUGGUAUGGGGGGAAUCGACCCCUCCCGUGCCGGAGCUAACGCGUUAAGCGUGCCGCCUGGGAAGUACGGUCGCAAGAUUAAAACUCAAAGAAAUUGACGGGGACCCGCACAAGCGGUGGAGUAUGUGGCUUAAUUCGAUGCAACGCGAAGAACCUUACCUGGGCUUGACAUGCAUCUCUCAAACGGUGAAAGCCGUGGAUAGGAGCAAUCCUAAAUUUGCACAGGUGUUGCACGGCGGUCGCCAACU